rnacentral:rRNA from 1 species
CCUACGGGUGGCAGCAGUGGGGAAUAUUGGGCAAUGGAGGCAACUCUGACCCAGCAAUGCCGCGUGAAUGCAGACGGUCCUCGGAUUGUAAAGUUCUUUAAUCAGGGACGAAAAAGAUGACGAUACCUGAGGAAUAAGCCACGACAAACUAUGUUCCAGCAGCCGCGGUAAUACAUAGGUGUCAAGCAGUGUCCGGAAUGACUGGGCGUAAAGGGAGCGUAGGCGGUCUGCUAAGUUGGAAGUGAAAUCCCGGGGCUCAACCCCGGAACUGCUUUCAAGACUGACGGACUUGAGUGUAAGGGGGGUAAGCGGAAUUGCUAGUGUAGCGGUGGAAUGCGUAGAUAUUAGGAGGAACACUAGUGGCGAAGGCGGCUUACGGGAUUAUAACUGACGCUGAGGCUCGAAAGCGUGGGUAGCAAACAGGAUUAGAUACCCUGGUAGUC